UUCAAGUUGUGCUAGGUUCGUACUUAAGUAAUCUACAUGUUAAUACCCCUGUUAAUCAUGUUUUCCACCUUUAAAAUUCAUGAAGUAAUUAGAUUCAAACUAUUAAAUCUUGUUUAUGAAAUAUUGUUUAAUCCAUAUCUUUUCUGUUUUUUAUCUGUUUCGAGUACAAUUUGAGUCUAGGUGAUCAUAACAAAGCCUAAAAUAGAUCUAAAACCUUUUCAACAUAUUUUUCUACUAUUGGUGUAC
rnacentral:lncRNA from 1 species